AUACUUGUCUUGUGUGAGUUUUCUCAAGCAGAACUCACGCACUACAUCAUGAAGUAUGCAGUAUUUUGUGUCACCAUUAGCACUCCUCUUAGAGACCAUAACUAAGCUUUUGUUAAGCAGAUCAUUCAAGCAAAUUCUAGAUGCUUCCUCCAUAUUCUCUGUGUCGACAUUCAGUACAAACUCUUCAGCCAUCUACAACUUCAACAAAUUAGAUACUAGAAUCUCAUGGUCUUCCGGAAACAAUGCCAUGUAAAGAAGGCAAGACUUUAAGUGACCUUCUAAAUGGUCAUAACUUGACUGUAUCACCUUCAUGCUCUGCUCUCCUAAAACAUAAGAACUUAAAUCAUUUGCAACCUCCAGCCACAACCUGGACGCUUCCCUAUCCUUUUCCCCAAUAAUCCGGCCAGCAACUAGGACAAUGGCAAGAGGUAAUCCCUUACAAUGUUGGGCAACUUGUAGCGUUGCUCCCAACAGACUCGGUGGACAAGUCUCUCCUCGAAAUACUUUUUUCAGCAAUAAUUCCCAACUCUCAUCCCGUGUUAGAAAUCUAAGAGGAUAAGGAUUACUAUGGUGCUGAAGAUGCUUAGCCACUUGUUCAAUUCGAGUUGUUACCAUUACCCUGCUUCCAUUUUCACCCUUAGGGAAACAUAAAUCCAAAUCUUCCCAUGCCUUGACAUCCCAUAUAUCAUCUAAUACAAUGAGGUAUCUCCUGCCUAUCAGACUCCUGCACAAUAUUUCAGGUCUGUCAUCAGCCUCAAUGAAUUCGCUCUUACGUGUUGUUUGUUUAAGGAUCUCACCCAACAACGUUCUCCUAUCAUAUUCUUGAGAAACAGAACACCAUACUUUAACAUCAAAGUGAUUAACAAUAGAGGGAAUGUUGUACACUUUCCUGGCCAAAGUUGUUUUGCCGAGUCCCGGCAUUCCAAAGAUUGAUAUAACGUCCAGCUUCUUUGUUCCUCGUGUCAAUUUCUGCAUUAUACUUUCUGCAUCUUUUUCAAAGCCCACAAUUUCUUCAUCAAUUGAUGGAAAACUACGUUGGAUGGAACUCCCCGGAAUCAAUAGAGUUCCUUUUCCACAAGUCUCAACAACAUCCAUGUCAAUUGGUUUGGUGUCUUUCACAAUCCAACUGCCUUGAAGUUUAUUGCCCUGUCACCUUUUCAUAAAAGAAAACGAACUUUUAACAAUAUUCAUACUCUAGAGAAAAAAUCAAAACAAAAAAUAUAAAAUGAAGUAAUGCCACACAGAAAGAAAAAAAAAGUCUUAUUUGAGGAAACAAGUGUAAUUGAUAGCCUAUCGCACUGCAGACUUAUUUGUAAUAACCUCACUUGAUUCAACAAUAUAUUCAGCAAUUACCUAGUGUCCAGAGAAGCCAGAGAUGAGCUCAACAUGGAUAUACAAGAGUUCCCUUCAUUUCAGAUGAAACAUAUGAACAAUUUCUCUAUUUCCCUUCACCAUUAUUAUUCAGAAUGCAUUCAUGAUUUCCACAAGCAUGCUACAUCCAUCAACCCCUUUUCUUUCCUUUGCAUAAAUUUGUAGCUUCAAACAACUAUCUUUGCUACUAAAAACAGAGGUUCUUCCCACUGCGAAUCAAUAAGAAAUUUGUGUUAUCAAAACAUGAUUUUCCCAUCCAUUCCUCACUGAACCAGCUCACCGGAAAAAUGCAUGGAAGGAAAUAGAUUAUCACUGAAAUACUGGGAAGCUUCCUAACUUUUCCAUGUAAAAACACUAUUAUUAUUAUUUUCUUUUCUUACCAUUUCAAUUAAAAUAUCUAUGGGAAUAACCCCUAAACAUUUUCCAGUGGGAAAUUUCAAUGGGAAAAUAGUGAUUUUUCAUUAGUGCUUUCUUUUGUUUCUAAACUUAAAACUAGUCCGGAUUUAGAAUUUGAAGAUUAUAAUUGUCAUUAAUCUCAAAUGAAUACACAAUAUUAACUGAUUCACAACUAAAUAUUUAUCAAAAUUCUAAUACAUAUACAUACGAGAUAUGAGCUAAAGCUAUUGGGUUCCUAUGAACCCGUAAAUUAACCUUUGGAUCCGGUAUAAGCUUUCCUAAUUCAUCAAUUUCUUGUUUGGUUGAUUUUUUAUAUUUAAUAGAUCGGAUUCCAAAAGAACAAAGAUUUCUUGUUUUUUGUUUGGUAUUGUUUGUCUCAAUGAAUCAGAAAUAGUAUCACUUCACUAGUAAAAGCUCAAAGGUUUUGAAUUUUGGUUGUAAAAAAACUUUGUUGGAUAAGCUAGAAACCAAAUGACAAAAAAGUAUGAAUAUUUGAACUUUGUUAGAUGAUUUUAUAAAAAUAUGAAUAUUAUACAAAUGAUCAGCAAGGAAAUAGCAAAAGAAGAAAUGGAAACCUAAAUUUAAAAAAAAAACAAUAAAAUAAAAUCUCACCUUCCGUUGUUAAGGGUGGCUACAGAGAGACCAGUUGCUCCAAAGGGUUGCCCUAAAUUGAUGGUAACAGAAAUUUAAAAAAUGACAAAUAAUUGUUGUGGGAAAUAUCAGCACGUAAAUAAAUAAAGCUUUUUCUAUUUUUUUUUUGAGUGUUCACAAUUAAAUUUUUUUAUUAGAAUUUACUUCUUUUUUUUAAAAAAUCAUCUUUGUGUAUUUAUUAGAAAUAAAAUACGUAAAUGUUUCCUUAAUUUUUGAAGGAGAAUAAGUUGAUGAGAAAAUUAAAAAAUAUUUUUCAGAAAAUAUUUUCUUUUAUACUAAACACACCCUUUAUGUAUUAUUUAUUAUUUUUCAUCUCAAUUCAUGUGGUACCUCUUAAAUUCUUAGAAACGAGUCUAUUUUAAUAGUAAUUUUUUCUUCAUAAAAUAUUUUAAGUUGGUAAUUAAUUUGACUAUAGUAUUUUCUACGCAUUUUUCAAGUAUAUAAAUUUUAUUUAAAAAAAUAUGAAAUUCUAUAUUCAAAUUCAUAGUCAAACUAAAAUUGUUUGACGCUCAAAAUUCAAAUUGCAUAUAAAUUGAGACAUGUGUACGGUUGGUAGUAUUUGUUGCAUUUGGUAUGUGGAUUCUAUCUUUUAUUUUUGGGAAAAGGACAUGAUAUACCGUUCAGCUUUGUCAUUAAGAGCUGAUAUACAUUCCGUUAUGAAAGUGAUUCAUAUAUACCCUUACCGUUAUACAAAUGACUCUCAUAUACCCCUACCGUUACAAAAUGAGCUCCCAUAUACCCUUUAUCUAACGGAAAUGAAAAAAUUAGUUGUAUUUUUUACUUUUAUUUUUCUUUUAAAUGAUGUAAGGAUAUAUAUGAUCCUUCUAGCAAAGUUCACGGUAUAUUUUAAUUUUUUUCCAUACAUAAAUUAUUUUUCGAUUUCUUUGAUUAUCAUUAUUUUAAUUUCUUAUUCUUAUUCUUCUUCUUUUUUCAUUCUUUAGUGUAAAGAAAAUAUUUAAAAAAAAAUAAAAAUUGUGGCUAUAUUAGAAUUUAAAACUAUUUUUUUCGGCUAUAUUAUCAGACUGGCAAUACUUGUGUUGUUCAUAAUAUAAUGCUGAUUCACAAACUUCUGCCUUAUUGGAAAAAUUAUGUUGAUCACAAGUUACGACGGGGAGACAUAAUUUGUACAGUACAGAAGUGGAAAUAGAGCAGGUUUUAAAUACUACGUUUUAUAACAACUUGGAGACAGUCAGUUCCUGCGAUUUCUUCCACGUCUCUUUUGAUAUUCAUAGCUUAAACCCCUAGAGAGUCGAUGCAGUUAGUCAGUUGAAUAAGUCUUAGAGUUGCAAAGCUAGGGGGGAUCUCCUUGAAGUAGUGAGCAGAUUCUAUAGAUAGCUCCUCAAGCACAGGAAAGGAAUCAUCUGAGGCUUUCCAUUCAUCUAUCUGCAUACUGAAUAAUGUCAAGUAUUUAAGUGCAGGAAACUCAACAUUUGUGAUGUCCCAGCAAUAGCCUCCACGUCUCGUCCAACGAAAUCCCAUCUCUAAUCUGAGAGUUUCAAGCUUCUUCAAUCUUGCAAUGUUUAAAAUCAUUUCUUCUGUCAAGAAACAGCCAGCAAGGCACAGAUGCCUAAGAUUUGGAGGGAACACAAAAUACCUCUCCCAUCCAUAUGUAUCCCAGAAAAUAUAGUCAGGUAACUGCACAAAAAGAGAACGAAGGUGAGUAUGAACUUGCAGAAAGGGAAACAAGGAACAACUAGGUAAACCGUUAAUGCAGAAGCUGAGCUCCUCAAGAUUUGGAAACCUCCACCAGAACCUUGGAUUCCUAUUAUCCAACAAUAUAUGGCAAGUGUGAAAAGUCUUCAUGUUCUCUAGCAUAGUUGUUGAACAUUCUUCAAAACUUCCUUCGUCAUUGUCUUCCCAUACCAAGGAAAAAUGGCUUAUUUUCACAUGCCGUAACUUCCUCAUUUCGUAUAAAGUAGCAGCCCUUAGGUGUAAAUCCUCAAAAAUAUUGGACCGGACCCGUAGAGUUUGGAGAUCGUGUAGGUGUGAUAUCCACUUUAAAUCAAAUUGUUUGACAUAAAGUGCAAGGUACCUCAACUGAGAUAGCGAUUGCAUUGCAGUAGGCCAUGAAUUUGGCAAUUCCACAUCCAUCAAAUGCAAUGCCCGAACAUAUCUUAAUUUAACAACUAAAUCUAAAGGAUUUGAAUAUAGGUUGUUCCAUAUAUUGAGUUUUGGAUGAGCAAUGAACUCCAAAGAAUUUGUUUCCUUGAAAUCGAGCAUUGGAAUCCUAUCCAGCUGGUAUUCAGAAUGAUCUAAUUGUUUAACAAGAUCAUCAUGAAUAUAAAUGCAUAACCGUGAUUCCAUGGAAUGCAAAUGUUGAUAUGGAUUGUAUGGCACUGCGAGCUGCAUAUACUUGUCUUCUGUGAGUUUUCUCAAGCAGAACUCACGCACUACAUCAUGAGGUGAGCAGUAUUCUACAUCACGAUUAAUUCUCAUUCGGGAGACCAUUACUAGGCUUCUGUUAUGCAAAUCACUCAAGCAAACUCGACAUGCUUCCUCCAUGUUCUCUGUUCCGGCAUUCAAUACAAACUCUUCAGCCAUCCACAAUUUCAGCAG
rnacentral:lncRNA from 1 species